UGACACUUAAGCUUGCUUUUGCUGUUAUACUUUUCUGCUGCGCCUUCCUGGGCUUUGGAAGUGCCGGAGGUUUUGAACCGCCCUAUAACUAUCGCGGUUCCAAUCUAAGAAGGACUAUGCAGCAACCACCUAUUUUGGCUCCAGAUUCUGGACCAAACUUUGGCUUUUCUGGCGGCUUUGAAGUCAUUGGUGGCAAUCCAGGUGGUUCCGGCUGUGGACUAUGCUCCUUAAAUGUCCUAGCCGGCAAUAAUCGUGAUAGAUUUAGCCCAACUAAUACUCCUAAAAAUAAAGCACAAUAAAUAAUGUAUUUGUGAAUUUCUCAAUCGUCUAUAUAUGUUCAGUAAUCACGAUAGUCGAAGUUCUGCUAUAAAUAAAUGUUUAAACUCUGAA